UACGUAGGGGGCAAGCGUUGUCCGGAAUCAUUGGGCGUAAAGAGCGUGUAGGCGGCUCGGUAAGUCCGCUGUGAAAGCCCACGGCUCAACCGUGGAAUUGCACUCGAGACUGAAGGGCUCGAGGACGGGAGAGGAUGGUGGAAUUCCCAGUGUAGAGGUGAAAUUCGUAGAUAUUGGGAAGAACACCGGUGGCGAAGGCGGCCAUCUGGACCGUAUCUGACGCUGAGGCGCGAAAGCGUGGGGAGCAAACAGG
rnacentral:rRNA from 1 species